rnacentral:pre_miRNA from 1 species
UGUGACAGACAAGCUUUUGGCCCAGAUUAUACCUGACAUUCCCGUAUAAGACGAGCAAAAAGCUUGUUGGUCAGAGG